GACGAACGCUGGCGGCGUGCUUAACACAUGCAAGUCGAACGGAAAGGCCCUGCUUUUGUGGGGUGCUCGAGUGGCGAACGGGUGAGUAACACGUGAGUAACCUGCCCUUGACUUUGGGAUAACUUCAGGAAACUGGGUCUAAUACCGGAUAGGAGCUCCUGCUGCAUGGUGGGGGUUGGAAAGUUUCGGCGGUUGGGGAUGGACUCGCGGCUUAUCAGCUUGUUGGUGGGGUAGUGGCUUACCAAGGCUUUGACGGGUAGCCGGCCUGAGAGGGUGACCGGCCACAUUGGGACUGAGAUACGGCCCAGACUCCUACGGGAGGCAGCAGUGGGGAAUAUUGCACAAUGGGCAGAAGCCUGAUGCAGCAACGCCGCGUGCGGGAUGACGGCCUUCGGGUUGUAAACCGCUUUCGCCUGUGACGAAGCGUGAGUGACGGUAAUGGGUAAAGAAGCACCGGCUAACUACGUG
rnacentral:rRNA from 1 species